ACUCUAUGGGCAAGAUAAAGUGGUUUUAGUGGAAAUCAAGCCUUGAUGGUCAUAUCGUCUGAAUUUGCCUGUCUUCCUGAUGGUAGAGAGCUCUUUCACACUUCGUGCACAUUGCAGAAAAUCAUUGAUGGCCGGACAGACAACAACGUCAUCCAGAUUUAAAAAGGCAAAAAGACAUUGCUUGACAUCAUUGAAAGACACAGAAAAAGAAUCGAUUGUAGAAAACAAAAAUAAUCGUGUAUUUGGUGUUUCGUACAGCUGAACGUCCGAUGCAUGCCAGAUUGAUUUCAAACAAAUAAGCGAGAAAUGUCUGCAGAAAGAAGAACCAACUAUGAUGAGCCCAUGACAGACCUGGUGAAAGCACAAAAGCAUGACAGCACCACAGCCGCCUUGACACAAGCAUAGUUGAAUAGAUUAGACAUAAGCUGAAAUGAAUAUAAUUAUAUCCCUGCGUACAAAGUAUAUGGGGCUAUAUUGGAGUCACUCAUGUCCGCUGGUCCGCCCGUCCAUCCGCCCAUCGUGUCCGCAUUUUCACAAAACUGGUAUCAAUUAUACACCUCAUCAAGACAAUGUUUAGAGCACACAACCAAGGCCAAAGUCAAGGUUACUCAUGGAGGUCGAAAAUCAAAUAGCUUUACUUCAUGUCCGCUUCACACCGAAGAUAUUUAGCUCGACAAUUUGAAGUAAAGGAGGGUUACCGUGUCGUUGGUUUCACUGUCAUCUUCUUAACUACUGCCACGACAGUACCUUCACGUAAGUGUUGAUUUUAGUAAAUGGCAGACAUCUAUUAGUUAACAGUUAACUAUCCUAUAGGUCAAGGUCACUUUGGUCAAAUAUUGUAAUAGUGUUGGUUAAAGUUUUAUGACAACCUUCUCUCUCUCUUCUAAAGCCCAAUAAUCAUCAAAUCUCACAUAAGGAUUUAUCUUAGGAAGGGGCAGAAAUCUUUAGGUUUAGGGUCAGGUAGUUCAAAGGUCAAGGUCACUAGGGUCAGGUUUUGUAACAGGUUUUGUAACAGUGUUAGUUAUAAUUUUAUGAUACACUUCUCUAUUUGACUUGUAACUGAUAAUGUUUCUUAGAACUUAUAUCCCUCAUAUCCAACACGUUUAAGCCCUUCCCACACUUCCUCUACCCCAAACCACAUACCUACCCCAAAAAUACAUUCCUUACACAAACUUAUAUGUGAGAAGACGAAAUGUAUAAUAUUUUUUUAAUUGGAUCAAUUAUUUAACAAGUUUUUCCUAUUUUAGAAUACAAUAUUGAGGAAAUUAUUGUUUCGGAAGACUAAUCUAGUCGGACUAUUUUAAUUAAGCUUUGAAUACUUCUAGCUUUGUUUGUAAUUUGUAAUGAAAUUAUGCAUCUUUUUUCGUAUAUGUUCUUUUUUUUAAAUAUUAUUAUGUUAUGAAUUUGACUUUGAUAAUUAAAAAAUAGGGGCAUCCAAUAUUUGUAAGAAGCCACGUAGAAUACUAAUUUGGUUCAUUAUUUAAAAGGUGUUUCAAAAUUUUAAAUUUCACAAUAGCUUUCGUUCGCCUGGACAGGGGUAGUUUUCAAAAAUAAAAUGCAUGGAUCAGUUAAUGAACAAAAUCCUUUUACACAAAUAAUAAAUUUAGAGACAACUCUGAUAUUUGUUUGUUUCAGUGUAAGAUCGAAUAUCGAAUCAUUCUAGAUGCAGCUGGCGAAAAUUGUAAACUCUAGUGUUUACGUGAAAAAUAAUUCGAUUUUACAUACAUAUCGAAGAAAUUUCAUUUAAUGCAUUUGAAUAUAUGUGUACUAAAUUGAACACCUUUUACUAGUGUAACGUCACGCGCAAUGUGCAACGUUACGCUUACUCUUACGGCAAUAUUUAUGUUGGAAAAAGUUGUAUAGUUCUAUGAGAUUUAUUCUUUGUACAUUUUAAUAUAGUAAUUUUCUAAUGUUUUGUCGUUAUGAAAAACUAUCCGAUUACAGGUAAUUCAUAUUCUUUCGCGUUAAAGUGAUGUUGCGUGCAACUGAAAAUUGUAUUUGGAUUUCCAACUUAUGAAACAGUGGAUUUAUCAGGGUUAAAGUUCCAUUAUAUUUUAGUAAUACUGUGAAAGGUUGACAUGAAAUUACAUACUCCAGUAACUACAACAUGCAGAGAUAAAAUCAUAGCACAUAUGCUACCGUCCUUUGACUAUCAUCUAAAAGUAGCUUUUUAAAGUCAUUUUGGCCUCAUUUUUGUACACUGAAUUUUACACAGUUUGGCAUAACUCUUAACUGACACCUAACUUUUGAGCACUAACAUUAACGCUUGGGGCUGAAAUGGCUUUAAAAGAAACUGUCUUUUAUAGGAACAAUUUGUUAAACUUUAGUCUGGAAUAUCUAUAAGAAUGAUGGGUAAAAAGAUGUUUAGAGAAUUAUGGGCAAACUUUUUGAUUUUUAGUCCGCUUUUAUAGGAUUCCUGGAAUAUAAGAUUAUAACAUGUUAAAUUCAUUGUUUGAAACGGACAGAAAUCCAAAUAUGAUUUUCACUAGUACUUAACUACACUUGAACGCGAGAAGAUAUGAAUUGUAAGGACUAUCAUUUUGAUUCAAGAAGACAAAAGAUGUAUAUUAAUGCUUACAAAACACCGACAUACCCGCCAAACCAUUCAAAUGACCAUGUUAAUGAAACAGUUGCAUCUCGUAGAUCUAUUUAGCGUUUUCCAACAUAAACAUUGUGACGUCAUGAAAUAUGGCGUGACGUUACGCAUGGCGCUUGAAUAAGAUUAGAGGAGAUCAAUUUAUUUUAAUUCAACAAGACAUAAAACAAUACAACAUAAGCUCUGAAUGAUUUUUAUACCGACUAAUGUAAUAAUUAAAAAGAACGUGUAAUACUGAAUUAACUUUAACGCGGAAACAUCAGAUUUAAGUUUACGGCGAAAGAUAUUUCGAUCUUACACUACAACAAACAAAUGCCCUCUUUCUAUAUCUCUUUACAACAGUUAGUAAGUAACAAGCAUCAAUGUUUUGAGGGGAGCCGGCUAAAAAGUGACACAACUUAGGACAGAAAUAAGUAAAGCUGUUUUAAAAUAUUUUAUAAUCUAAAAAAAAGAAUGCCAUUUUCCUUUUGAAAAUUUACUAUUUUGAAAUAACAGUCAAAAUUUCAGUAUCUACAUAGCUGUUGUCAGACAUUUUUGGGGUUAUAUUCCAAAGAAGAGUGUAUUUUUCCUCUCUUUAUAUCUAUCAAAUAUGUUUGUCUUAAUCUAUUGAUUUUAUACAUUUUAUACUUUGUAUAAUAGUAAUGUAUAUUUUUCGUGCUCACUGGUUGUUUCUUAAUGACAGUCAGAACUUCAAAUAUAUUUAAGCUUACCAUUUCUUCUCAGGGAAUUUUACUGUUCGUGAUGAGAGCAUUGUAGGACCACAUUCGUAACAGAUCGCAUUUGUAACAGGUGUUACAAAUGCGAUCGCAUAUGUAACACGUGUUACAAAUGAGAUCGCAUACGCAACAGAAAUCAAGCACAUAUGUAACAAUUUUUGUGACGAAUGUGAUCGAUGCCGAUUUUUGAUGUGACAUCUAAUCACAUUUGUCGCAUGUCAUUUUCAAUCGGAAAAAUGAACAAAAAAGUGCAUUUUUACAUCUGAAACACAUUUGUAACAUGUUUUAGCUCACUUGUACAAAGUGACAAUGUAAGCUAUUGCGAUCACCCGUCCGUUCACAUUUUUUUUGCGAAUAUGACAGAGACAAUAUUUAUCAUUUGAUUUUGACAAAACUUGCACAGAACUUAAUAUAGAUCUAUAUCUCGGUUCCUUUCGAAAACCAGCCAUAUCACCUUAUUCAUCUAGGAGUUAUGGCCCCUGGAAUGGCAAUAAUUACUGAUUUUAGCCUUCUGAACCCGAUUAAGACCGCAUGUUUUGUUAUUUUUACUCAAUAUGCAUACAACUUAUAUAUCUAUAAGAUCUCGGUUCCUUUCAAAGACAACCGUAUUGCACCAUUUAUUUGACUUCGAGUUACGGCCCCUGAAUUGGUAAAAAAUGCUGCUUGUGAAGACAAUGGAGACUACAUUUAUUAUUUGAUUUUCAUUAAACUUAUAUAGGAUCUCACUUCCUUUCAAAACAGCCAUAUCGCCCACUGAUCUCAGACUUAUGGCUGAAAUGGCAAAAUCUGCUUAUUUUAGUCUUGUGAACACAAUAGAGGCCAUAUUUAUUAUUGCAUUUUGAUCAAACUUGUAUAUAAAUUAUAUAAUAACAUGUAUUGUGUAGUAUUACUCAUGUGAGCGAUAGUGGGCCAUGACGGCCCUCUUGUUGAUUAGAGGGAUAUUUCCGGUUAGGUUAAUAUCUCGGUACUGGUUGGUUAUCUGGCAAUUAAACGUAGCAAGAAUACCGAAUGGUUAUCAUGACUGGUCUGUUCAUAGUACUUCAUGUACAUGUCACUUAUAAACUUCCCAUAUAGAUUUUGCUUUGUAAGAUUUCAUUUUUAUUAAAUGCAUGAAUACAUGUAUAUGAAUAUGUAUGAUUAAAGGGGAAGAUACACCACAUGCGAUCCCUGUUCAACUUUUAUAAUGGUUGUAUCGCUUCAACAACAAAUAAAGCGCACUCGAAAAUCAAGAUCAAGGCAGUCUCAACUAACAUAGAAAGUCUUGUUAAAGCUGAACACUGGGUAUAUAUACAUCUAUGUAUACUUAAAAAUAGUGACUAGCUUGACAAAUCGAGGACUGCUUAUGACUAUUUUUCUGAUCCUGAUGUCGUCGGUGUCCACGGGUUCGCUGCAAGAUAGGUUUUUCGUUUUCGUUUUGUUUAUCUUUGUCAAUUCGCAUUGCUUUAAACAUAAAAAAACUUAAACUGACGACAAAUGAAAUAUGUCCAACUUAAAACUCUGGCGUGAACUUUAUUGAAAUUAUAUUUACUAUGAGAGUUGUCUUGCCAGGCCUGGUGUCUGCAUUCGUAUGGAAACACUCUUAUUUUGUAUCUCUAUAGGAGCGGCACGACUAACUCCAUCGGUGAGGCUGGUGCAGUGGAUAGUUUUGCAGAUUACGAAACCGGCGGAGCGAGUUGAAUUUCUAGUCAGGGCCAGAAUUUCCAGAGAUAUUGACAAUGUGUCUUUCAUCCACCCAGUUAAUACCUUACUUACAAACAAAAAUAAUAUUCAUCGAAACCAUUCUACAGAGUCCCAAAAUUUGAGACGUUUGCAGUAAUAGGUGUAAUAUGAUCACUACAGAUUGUCAAUGAAUGGUGGUUAUUUGUACCAAAGUAUUUGGAAAUCUGACUAAAGCGGGUUAUGAUUCGGGCACAAACAUAUAUAUUACAACAAAAUAACACAACCAAUCUAAGUUCAAAGCUGUGAACUUGAUCUUGGAUAUAUACAUGUAGCAACAAGGACCAUGAUCUCAACACACCUUCUAUCCAUGCUGAUCAUUUGUACCAAAUAACUUGAAAAUCUGACUAUGAAUGGGCAAGUUAUACCAAGGACAUGAACUUAUAUAUAUAUAACUGCACGAACGCUUAGACUCCGCUAUUUCACGGCCGGAUUAUAAUAAAAGAAGGCCUACAGACGGACUCAGUGGGGUGAAGGUAAUUAGAAAAUAAGAUGUAUUUUCUUAAAAUCCCAUAGACAUUAGUUCGCAGCACAAGGUCGGGCCCUCCUAGACUUAAGGCUAACGACUCCGUCCAUGACAAGUUGUAUUUAAUUUGUCCCGUGACAUAGCAGCUUCGUGUUUGUCAACCAACUUGAAACAGCUCUGGAUGACGAAAUAUAGCUACAAAUGUAUGUCGCCACCGGGUUCGAACCAGUGACCUGAGCAUGUUGGUCUACAUUUCAGCAAGUCGAGGUAACAGUAGAAGUAGCUGAAGUUGUAAUCAUAUUAAAGUGGUAGUGACAAUGGAAGCAAAAAUGAUUAUAACAAUUGAGCCACGUCACGGAAAAAUUGGCAUUCGGACAUUUUCGUGAAUUUCCGGAAAGUCUAUAUUUAGGCUGACCUGUGCAUUUAUGCAUCUGAAUCAGAGUCAGAAAAUUUCAUAUUCAGGUAGAAUAAGCCUUCUUUGAAAUAACAGCGAACGGUGUGGGCCAUGAUCAGACUGCGCGGAUGGGCAGGCUGACCUGGGCCCACACUGGUCCCAAAGCCUCGAAGAUUCCCGAAGGCCCAUUUUCUCAUGAUGCGGCUCAAAUAAUUUUAUGAUGUCAUUGACCUCGACGACGACGACGCUAACUUGUGAUGGUGCUUAUGGUAGUUAUUUAAUGAUGUUGCGAUGACAACCAACUCAUUGAACAUUUGCAGUAUAAAACUCAACAUGAUACAUAU